GAUGAACGCUGGCGGCGUGCCUAAUACAUGCAAGUCGAGCGAACAGAUGAGGAGCUUGCUCCUCUGACGUUAGCGGCGGACGGGUGAGUAACACGUGGAUAACCUACCUAUAAGACUGGGAUAACUUCGGGAAACCGGGGCUAAUACCGGAUAAUAUAUUGAACCGCAUGGUUCAAUAGUGAAAGACGGUUUUGCUGUCACUUAUAGAUGGAUCCGCGCCGCAUUAGCUAGUUGGUAAGGUAACGGCUUACCAAGGCAACGAUGCGUAGCCGACCUGAGAGGGUGAUCGGCCACACUGGAACUGAGACACGGUCAGACUCCUACGGGAGGCAGCAGUAGGGAAUCUUCCGCAAUGGGCGAAAGCCUGACGGAGCAACGCCGCGUGAGUGAUGAAGGUCUUCGGAUCGUAAAACUCUGUUAUUAGGGAAGAACAAAUGUGUAAGUAACUAUGCACGUCUUGACGGUACCUAAUCAGAAAGCCACGGCUAACUACGUG
rnacentral:rRNA from 1 species